UACGUAGGGACCGAGCGUUGUCCGGAAUCAUUGGGCGUAAAGAGCGUGUAGGCGGCUAUUUAAGUCCUGCGUGAAAUCCUGCGGCUCAACCGCAGACGGUCGUGGGAAACUGGAUGGCUAGAGUGCGGGAGAGGAGAGUGGAAUUCCCGGUGUAGCGGUGAAAUGCGCAGAUAUCGGGAAGAACACCGGUGGCGAAGGCGGCCUGCUGGGACAUUGCUGACGCUGAGGCGCGACAGCGUGGGGAGCAAACAGG
rnacentral:rRNA from 1 species